CGUGCGCGCGGCGGGGGACGCGCUCGCCGCGCUGCUGCCGCGGUCGCGGCGCGGCGGCACCGAGGAUCCCGCUGCCGCGGUGCGCGC
rnacentral:tRNA from 1 species